UCUUACUUUGCCUGUCUGCUUUGUGUUCUUGUAUUCUUUUAUUUGUGGAUCUCGUGGUUGAACCAAUAUAGGUUUCUUCUUGUUUUGUGUCUUUGUUGUCGGUUUUUGUUUUGCACAUCCCUGGCAUGUCCCUUGCACAUUCCUGGCAUGGGAAAUGGCGAUUAAUGCCCGGAAGGAUAAUAAGAAAAUGAAGGAAGAGAUUAACUUCAAUAAGAAAGUGAAGAAGGCUGCUAAAUGACUAAGGGAGAAUAAAAUUGUGUGUGCAAAGGACGAUAAAUCCAAAGCCGUUGUAAUACUACAAGAAGAAUUGUACAAUAGUUAUAUAGAAGAAUAUAUACAAAAGGCAGGUAUGAUUAGCAUUAAUGAAGACAACAGAAAAAAUAGUGCGACAACUUGAUAAAAUCUUGAGAUCAAAGGGAUGCCCGCAAUUUCUGAAGAACACCAAAGUUAUUUCACCAAAAACACCUAGAACGUUUGCUUUUAUUAAAACACACAAAACACCUAUUUCCAUUAGACCCGUUGUUGAAAGGAGAGAUGUGCCGACAAUACUGGUGAAGAAAACAUUAGCGAAUUUGGCAAGAGAAAAUUAUGAAAGGAUACAAAUGGUUACUGACAUCAUCAAGACAAUUUUGAGAUGCACUAUAUGAGAAAGGCCCUCUCCCAGAAGAAAAUAUGGAAGUGUAUGACUACGAAGCAUUAUAUCCCUCUAUUAAAUUGGAACCGGCCCGCUUACUAUUAUAUCAUAUACUAUUAGAGAACUUAACAGAA
rnacentral:lncRNA from 1 species